UGUUAACGUAUUUAGGCGGCGCUACCAGGUGAGCUGUGAGUGUCCUGGUGUCUGGAGGGAGACUUCCAAAUGGAUAGCACGCCCCCUUCUCCCAGCACUUCCCUCGCAGCCUGGAUGCCUCUUCGACUUGAGUGACCAGCUGGAAGUUUACACCCAGGGUGCCCGUGGCUCUCCGGAAGCUCAGCCGCCUGUGGGGACACAAGGACAGGACUCAGGAGCUGGACACAAGGACCAAUCCGAGGGAGCCCUCCAAACGCUGUGGGAAAACUGAGGCCAGGCCUGCAGCCACCACACUAGUUACGGGACAAGGGGAACGGCACCCGGCCGCCCUUGCGGCCAUGUCGACAGAACCUGGGGAUUUGCUCUAGACCUGUGCCUCUGGCCACUUCGGCGCUACCUCCCCGGCAGCACACCCCAGACCUACCUCUCCUGGAACUGCUUGGAAGGAAUGAGGCCGGCUCGAAGAACACCAGGGCCCAGUUACCUCGGAGGAAAAUUGGAAGGAGGCUUCCUUAGAUCCAAGCAGAUUCCGUCAGAUAAUAGAAGCCUGACUUCUCUUCCCCUUCCUCCGUCCUUGCCCCCUCUGCGGACACCCGCUACACUGUGACACCUUGUAAGGCACCUGUGACUCUCUGGACAGAGUCGGACAGAAGCACUUACCACACAGCAGGGAAAGCCCUGCUCCCUGGCCGCCGCCUCUGAACCCAGAACCCUUGAAGCUAUGACUCAUCCUUUUCUGGAGCACCAAAGGGAGGCUCCGGAAUAGAGUGAAUAAUUACACAAAUGGCAGUUGCUUAAAUUGGUUCCCAAUGCAGCACCCUCGGUAUCUCCUCCUCCUCCUCCUCCUCCUCCUCCUCCUCCUCCUCACAGGCCGGGUUUUCUAUUUCUAUUCAAAUAACCUUGCCUUUUAUUAGCAAGCCAUGUCAAAUCCUGCUGAGGAAGAGGCAGGGUACAAAUAAAUGAAUCACUCUCUGA